rnacentral:snRNA from 1 species
AAAUCAACUGUAGGAGACAUCUGUCACCCUAUUGAUGGCCAGGUUUUAUUUGGCUGAUCCAGCUGGCUGGCUGUGUGCCCUUCUUGCCUCACUGUUCCACCUGCAUCCCUCCCAGAGCGGUAUGCUGCAUUGAAGAGGCUGACGUUCCAUGAGGGACGAGGAGCACCUCCAGUCAAGGGUAUACAAGUAACUGUGCUCCCCGCGUAGAACCUCCAAACAAGCUUUCAAGGGCACAGGAGACCCAAUGGUCAAAACUGACUCUAGAGCA